rnacentral:rRNA from 1 species
CGGAGGGUGCAAGCGUUAUCCGGAUUCACUGGGUUUAAAGGGUGCGUAGGUGGGCAGGUAAGUCAGUGGUGAAAUCUCCGGGCUUAACUCGGAAACUGCCAUUGAUACUAUCUGUCUUGAAUACCGUGGAGGUCAGCGGAAUAUGUCAUGUAGCGGUGAAAUGCUUAGAUAUGACAUAGAACACCAAUUGCGAAGGCAGCUGGCUACACGAAUAUUGACACUGAUGCACGAAAGCGUGGGGAUCAAACAGGAUUAGAUACCCUGGCAGUCCACGCCCUAAACGAUGGAUACUCGACAUACGCGAUACACUGUGUGUGUCUGAGCGAAAGCAUUAAGUAUCCCACCUGGGAAGUACGAUCGCAAGAUUG